CGUGAUACUAGAGAUGACGACAAGGAGCAGGCGCUCUGGGAAAGAGCAAGUUGUUGAGAAAUAGAGAAUCAACUAUGCUUUUUCCUCUUUCUCCCAUUUUCCUUUGAGGUUAGCUUAUCUUCUCCUAUGGAUCUCUAUAUAUAUUUUAGUAUUGGAUCUCUUUGUGUAUACUAGAUGUUUCACAGGAUGGUUUCAUUGAGAUUCAUCCCCUCUGUAAAAGUAUAUUUUGCCUCUUUGCUUUCUCCUAUUUAGUAGUUCAUUUGAAUCAUAAGUGUUUAACAUAGACUAUGAUGUGUAGCUAAAUAUAUUGUUACUGAAGUUAUUACUUUUGUUGUUGUGUCUCCCUGUUUACAUCGUUUGUUGUUGUGUCUCCCUAUAUCGAGCAAUCUCAAGGAGAUGUAGGUGCUUUACUUGGCUGCGUCGACGUUUGAGAAUGCAGCGAGGAUGGCUAACGGAACAAAGGGGACAUAUGACCAAUGUGUACAACAAAACUAGAAUCCAUGUGUACAUUUCUUUCAUGUUCAUCCUUUUGAUAAGACAACUUGUGCAUCUAUUAGUAUCCAUAUGUACACCUAUUUCAUAUACAUCCUUUUGAUGAGACUUAUUGUACAUCCA